GAUGAAGAACGUAGCGAAAUGCGAUAAGUAGUGUGAAUUGCAGAAUUCAGUGAAUCAUCGAAUCUUUGAACGCACAUUGCGCCCGCCAGUAUUCUGGCGGGCAUGCCUGUCUGAGCGUCAUUUCAACCCUCAGCCCCCGCUCGCGGGGCGCUGGCGUUGGGGAUCGGCCGUCCUCGCGGCGGCCGGCCCCGAAACACAGUGGCGGUCUCUCGCGGACUCCCCUGCGUAGUAGCACUACCUCGCAGAAGGGACGAGCGGGCUGACCACGCCGUAAAACCCCCCACUUCUCCAGGUUGACCUCAGAUCAGGUAGGAAUACCCGCUGAACUUAAGCAUAUCAAUAAGCGGAGGA
rnacentral:misc_RNA from 1 species